rnacentral:rRNA from 1 species
GACGAACGCUGGCGGCGUGCUUAACACAUGCAAGUCGAGCGGAGCGGCGAACGGGUGAGUAACGCGUGAGUAACUGCCCCCCUCUCUGGGAUAACAGUUGGAAACGGCUGCUAAUACUGGAUAGUGGGGGAUGACUCGCGUCCUAUCAGCUUGUUGGUGGGGUAGUGGCCUACCAAGGCGACGACGGGUGGCCGGCCUGAGGGGGCGACCGGCCACUUUGUGCUGGGAUACGGCCCAACCUCCGACGGGUGGCAGCAGUGGGGAAUAGUGCACAAUGGGGGAAACCCUGAUGCAGCGACGCCGCGUGCGGGAUGACGGCCGUCGGGUUGUAAACCUCUACGAGGUCACUAUAGGUAGGUGGAGAAGAAGCGCCGGCUAACUACGUGCCAGCCGCCGCGGUAAUAC